rnacentral:rRNA from 1 species
UCUGGCUCAGGAUGAACGCUAGCGGGAGGCCUAACACAUGCAAGCUGAGCGGUAGAGUAUCUUCGGAGACUUGAGAGCGGCGUACGGGUGCGGAACACGUGUGCAACCUGCCUUUAUCAGGGGGAUAGCCUUUCGAAAGGAAGAUUAAUACCCCAUAAUAUAUAGAGUGGCAUCACUUUAUAUUGAAAACUGAGGUGGAUAAAGAUGGGCACGCGCAAGAUUAGAUAGUUGGUGAGGUAACGGCUCACCAAGUCGAUGAUCUUUAGGGGGCCUGAGAGGGUGAUCCCCCACACUGGUACUGAGACACGGACCAGACUCCUACGGGAGGCAGCAGUGAGGAAUAUUGGACAAUGGGUUAGCGCCUGAUCCAGCCAUCCCGCGUGAAGGACGACGGCCCUAUGGGUUGUAAACUUCUUUUGUACAGGGAUAAACCUAUUUACGUGUAAAUAGCUGAAGGUAC